rnacentral:tRNA from 1 species
GGCUUCGUCGCCCAAUUGGCAGGGCAGGCGUCUCAUGAGCGCUGUGGUGCAGGUUCGAAUCCUGUCGAAGCCAC